rnacentral:lncRNA from 1 species
UCGGCCAAAGAGAGAAAAAGAAAAAAAAAGAAGAACAAAAACCCUAGAGAGAAAAAUUCAAAGGGAAAUUGUUGAUUUUCAAGGAAUCAAGCCAUUAAAGGUAAAAUUUCUUAAUUCUAGCUUGUGAUCUAUCUUUCUUAUGCAUUAUUUUGCAUUUUCCAUGGUUGAAUCACAAGAUAUCAUGAAGGAUAGUGUGCUGAUCAAACCUUAGGAGAGAGAAUUUGAUGCUGAAUUUAGUUAGAAAACAUGUUAUUUUAGUGUUUUUAGUUGUUUGGUGAUGUGUAGUAUGAAAAGCAAGCAAGAAAAAUUCUUGUUCUUACAUCACAUUCAUUGGCUGAAUAUUCCAUGUGGAAUAUUGAUGAUGAAUUUGAUUGAAUUUCAAGUGAUUUGAUUAGGAAUGAAUGAUUUAUGGUGUGAGAAUCAAGCAUGAAAAAUUAUAUUGUUAGUGCACUCACCAUGGCUGAUUUUUUCAAGGGAAAAUGUGAGGAUGAUUUUGCCACAUUUCAAUUUAUUUAGAUUAUGUUUAAUGAUUUGGAGUAUUAGGAGAGAAAUGGAAUUGUUUGGAGUUGAAUUGGACGUUUUGGCCAAUUAAUCGGGUGAUAGCUCGAAUUAGGCCAAUACCAUUUUAUUUAGGUACAUAAUUGAAUUUAUGCUGAACACCGUAUUUAGAUAGUUACCCGAGUAUUUCUCAUCUCAUUUCAUGCAUUAGUAUAGAGCCUGAAUUGGUUUUACAACGGUUUAGCACAAAUGUAGCAAAUUGCUUAUUGUGCAUUAUGUCUAGGUGGUGAGCAUUCUAGCAAGAGUAAAGAGGUAGUAUCCAAGGAUCAAGAAUCAGAGUAUCCCGAAUUCAAUUCCCAUUACAGUGAGUAACCUUAUUAUCAUCUUAAUUAUCUAAAGUAUGUUUUUAUUCGAUUUUGUAAUUUUAUGGAAAAUCUGUUUAAAUGAUAUGAUUUUAUAAAUUGUUUUGAAAUUUAAUGAUGACUUGAAAAUGGAGUAAUUGGAGACUACUUGCUAUAUUGUAAAUUAUGUUUUGAAUUGAAUGGCUUAUGAUAAUGUGGGCAUGAAUGGCUGGAUGGGCAUUUGUGUUGAAAAUGUAUAAACUGUUGUUUGCAUUGAUAGGCUGGAUAAUGAUAAAAUUGCCAUGUCAUGCUAUUGAAUUUUUAUUGAAUUGGUGGGUUAUAGAUUGGUCACUGCAGUGGCGGGUUUUGUGGACCAGCUUUUUUGAAGGGCACGAAAUCCGGGUAUAUUCUUACCUCGAUUGAGGAGGCGCAUAAGGUAACUCCUGAGGUAAAACUUUAGAGUUCACUUCACGCCAAACCAGCACGUGAGGAUGAACUCAGCCAACGCCAAGGAACGGCUAUGUUUUCAAAAUAAAAACAUGAUUUAUGCCUACAUGACUUUUUAACAGUCUUGGCAGAUUCGGUUGGGAUAGCCCUAGGCCAAGGUAUCCCUGAGAACCGAGUAUGAGAAUGAUUUUGGCACGAGCCAAGCUUUUCAAUAAAUCAUAAGCCUCGUUGUUUAUUUGGGUGAAAUGAAUCUAUUUUAUCUUAUGAAAAUGAGUUUGAAAUGCUGUGAAUCAUUUUUAUGCUAAUUUAUUUUAUUUGUCUCCAUUUACUCAACUUUAGAUAUUUUAGAUGAUAUUUGUUUACUCAUUGGGAUUAUAUAAUCUCACCACCCUCCUUUCCACCCAUUCCGGGCUCAGGAUAGUCAGUAGAUAGCUCAUUUCGUUAAGGGCUACAGUUGGACUUGCAUCCUAAAAAAUUGUAGGUUCACAGCUUUCAUUAGUUUUAGUCAUUCGGGGGCCCACAUGUCAUUGUUAAAUAUUUUGAAUACUUGGCUGUGUGUGCUACUGUAUGUAGCAAUUUAUUUUGUUUUUACACUGUAAAAAUUAUUUACGUAGCGUUCUAUAAAAAUUAUUUUAUGAAAAAUUGGAAUAUUUUAUUCCAUUAGUUAUAAUUUCACUUUAAAUGAAUGUUUUAGAUAUCUAAACUUAUUUUCGAAUAUGAAAUGUGUAAAUUUCUCUCAUAUACUACAUUUUAGUUGGUUUCAAAAAUUUUAGGAAAAAUGACCAAAAUACCCCUAUGUAGUUGAAACUUUUCUUUCAUUGUUUGUGAAUUGAAAUUGGUUCAUAUCACUUUAAAACAUGAUUUUAGUAACUAAUACUCAUAGGGGAAGCGAGAAAACUGAUGUUAAGCCUUGCGAGGUUUCGAUUGGCAUUCCGGGUAAUGAAUGUCUAUC